CGCCAAGUUUCAGCUUCAACAGACUGCAUCUGGACGGUUCUCAUGCAAACUGCAAAUGUAAAGAGAAGAAGGAGAUAGUUGUAAUCACCAAUCUGGGAUGGCCGUGGACUCUUGUGCUAACCACUUCUUCAAAGCUCGAUCCCUGGUGGGUUUGAACCCAGUUCGUUCACUGCCAGCCGGAGGAGGUUCACAGUUCUUACGCCAAUAUUCAGCUUCAAUGUCCACUCUGGAAUGACUGGUUACUCCAAGUUCCCUCGGGCCCCGCCAGCUUUGAUGUUGUUCCAUUCUGUGAUCUUGGUAACAUUUCCUCGCGUCCACAUUUGCUCGUCUACAUUUUCCUUGGGAGCUAUGCUGCUUGUUGAGACAGACAGCAGAUCUAGAUCAGAUUGAAGAACAGCCUGCCUUCAGAAAUUGUAUUGACCAACAUAUCACCCUCUUCCUCUGUCUGCCACCAGAAUCUCUGAGCAGCGACGCCUGUAUUCUCAAAAUCAGCGUUCUCUCAGUCGAAAGUUGCCGGAUUUACAAAGUCUACUUUUAAGCACACAUAUAAUUUUUUAUAAACGGAUCAAUUUAUAAUAGAAUCAGCGUGUUGUCAGAUACUGUUAUAGUAUUCUCUAAAUAUAAAAAAAUCAAGAAAUACUAAAAUAAAAUCAAAA
rnacentral:sRNA from 2 species